UACAGAGGUCCCAAGCGUUGUUCGGAUUCACUGGGCGUAAAGGGUGCGUAGGCGGUCGGGUAAGUCUGACGUGAAAUCUCCGAGCCUAACUCGGAAACUGCGUCGGAUACUAUUCGGCUAGAGGAAUGGAGGGGAGACUGGAAUACUUGGUGUAGCAGUGAAAUGCGUAGAUAUCAAGUGGAACACCAGUGGCGAAGGCGAGUCUCUGGACAUUUCCUGACGCUGAGGCACGAAAGCCAGGGGAGCAAACGGG
rnacentral:rRNA from 1 species